CGGGACUAAGCACCAACAUAAAAUUUGGCUCCUAGAAAGAAUAAAUAAAUAAUGGGUUCUUUAGUUUUAAAACACAACUCCAUCUCCCAAAAUCCCUUAACCUAAAAUUUCUAAACCUAACUUCAUCAAGAAAACUAUUACGUCAAAGAACAAUUACGCAUCACAUAUCUGAACUUCGAUUUCCUGGAGUUUGUGGAUGCUAGGUGAUUUUUGUCCGAACCUAAUUCCAAAACUCUCCCUUAAGUUUGUUUUGAAGCUAUUCUUCAAUGGUGAUUGGAAGUUAAGUAUCAACCAGAAGCAGAAGCAUCUAGCCAUAAUUUAGAUGAAUUGUCCAAGAGAGUUUAUUUCUUUAGAAACGGCAAGUCCAUUGAAUCUAAACUCAUAUGAGGAUUUGGAGUUUAGUUUACAAGUCAUGAUGCAAUUCUAAAGAUUUUGAACAAGUUGGCAAAUUUGUUAUCGUUUUGCUAUGAUUGUUAGACAAAACAUUAUUACUACAGACAUUAGCCUUUGUCGGCUAAUGAGUUGUGCAUAGUAUUGUGACUUAUAUAUUUUUUGUAAACAAUGGUAUUAGUGAGAUGUUAAUUAGUGUUUCUA